rnacentral:rRNA from 1 species
GACGAACGCUGGCGGCGUGCCUAAUACAUGCAAGUAGAACGCUGAAGAGAGGAGCUUGCUCUUCUUGGAUGAGUUGCGAACGGGUGAGUAACGCGUAGGUAACCUGCCUUGUAGCGGGGGAUAACUAUUGGAAACGAUAGCUAAUACCGCAUAACAAUGGAUGACACAUGUCAUUUAUUUGAAAGGGGCAAUUGCUCCACUACAAGAUGGACCUGCGUUGUAUUAGCUAGUAGGUGAGGUAACGGCUCACCUAGGCGACGAUACAUAGCCGACCUGAGAGGGUGAUCGGCCACACUGGGACUGAGACACGGCCCAGACUCCUACGGGAGGCAGCAGUAGGGAAUCUUCGGCAAUGGGGGCAACCCUGACCGAGCAACGCCGCGUGAGUGAAGAAGGUUUUCGGAUCGUAAAGCUCUGUUGUAAGUCAAGAACGAGUGUGAGAGUGGAAAGUUCACACUGUGACGGUAGCUUACCAGAAAGGGACGGCUAACUACGUGCCAGCAGCCGCGGUAAUACGUAGGUCCCGAGCGUUGUCCGGAUUUAUUGGGCGUAAAGCGAGCGCAGGCGGUUUGAUAAGUCUGAAGUUAAAGGCUGUGGCUCAACCAUAGUUCGCUUUGGAAACUGUCAAACUUGAGUGCAGAAGGGGAGAGUGGAAUUCCAUGUGUAGCGGUGAAAUGCGUAGAUAUAUGGAGGAACACCGGUGGCGAAAGCGGCUCUCUGGUCUGUAGCUGACGCUGAGGCUCGAAAGCGUGGGGAGCGAACAGGAUUAGAUACCCUGGUAGUCCACGCCGUAAACGAUGAGUGCUAGGUGUUGGAUCCUUUCCGGGAUUCAGUGCCGCAGCUAACGCAUUAAGCACUCCGCCUGGGGAGUACGACCGCAAGGUUGAAACUCAAAGGAAUUGACGGGGGCCCGCACAAGCGGUGGAGCAUGUGGUUUAAUUCGAAGCAACGCGAAGAACCUUACCAGGUCUUGACAUCCCGAUGCUAUUUCUAGAGAUAGAAAGUUACUUCGGUACAUCGGUGACAGGUGGUGCAUGGUUGUCGUCAGCUCGUGUCGUGAGAUGUUGGGUUAAGUCCCGCAACGAGCGCAACCCCUAUUGUUAGUUGCCAUCAUUCAGUUGGGCACUCUAGCGAGACUGCCGGUAAUAAACCGGAGGAAGGUGGGGAUGACGUCAAAUCAUCAUGCCCCUUAUGACCUGGGCUACACACGUGCUACAAUGGUUGGUACAACGAGUUGCGAGUCGGUGACGGCAAGCUAAUCUCUUAAAGCCAAUCUCAGUUCGGAUUGUAGGCUGCAACUCGCCUACAUGAAGUCGGAAUCGCUAGUAAUCGCGGAUCAGCACGCCGCGGUGAAUACGUUCCCGGGCCU